CCUUGUUCAAGUGGAGCCGAAUCCCUAGAAUGAAGGCGAUGUUCCAAAAAAAAAUUCUCCAAAUUUGAAGAGAAAAAAGGGCAGAAAUCUAGAUCAACGGCGCUAGCGGAGAAAGAGAUGGGUUUGAUUUGAAGUAUUGUAGCAAAGCUUCGUCUUCGUCUCAGUUUAUAUCGAUUUGCUUCUCGCUUUGCCUUGCAGUACCUUCUCUUCGAUCUCCUUCGAUCGAGAGAGCAAAGAGUGAAAAAUGAUGAGACCUGUGGAUGAAAGGGAAGGUUUUGCAAUGGAGGUGGAGACAAUUGUUAAUUCAUCAUUACCGUCCACAAAGAUUAUUGCUUCUGAGAUACUCCAUAGUAGGCCUCGUCCAAAUGUUGCUUAUUUGAGGACCUUCUGGAGAAUACUCAUUGGACUUUCUAAGAGCAUUAAAGUUGUUAUUUUCUCUGCAAAAAUUAAUAUUCUACUACCAUUUGGACCUCUGUCGAUCAUUCUCCACUUUCUCACCAAAAAUCAUGGAUUAGUUUUCUUCUUCAGUUUGAUAGGUAUUAUUCCUUUAGCUGAGCGUUUAGGAUAUGCAACAGAGCAGCUUGCUGCUUACACUGGUAAUACAGUUGGAGGAUUGCUAAAUGCCACCUUUGGUAAUGCAACCGAAAUGAUAAUAGCUAUAUAUGCACUAAAAAGUGGAAUGAUCCGUGUUGUGCAGCAAUCAUUAUUGGGCUCUAUAUUAUCAAAUAUGCUAUUAGUUCUUGGUUGCGCUUUUUUUGCUGGUGGAAUUGUUCACAACAAAAAAGAUCAAAUUUUCGACAAGGCUGCUGCUGUUGUAAACUCGGGGCUAUUGUUGAUGGCUGUUAUGGGUUUAACAUUUCCUGCUGUCCUCCACUUCACCCGAUCAGAGGUGCACUAUGGAAAGUCAGAGGUUGCCCUUUCGAGGUUUAGCAGUGGUGUUAUGCUUGUCGCAUACGCAAGUUACCUUUUUUUCCAACUCAGGAGUCAGCAAAACAGCUACCAUCCGAUUGCAGAUGAAGAGGGGCAUAGUGAAGAUUCUGAUGAAGAAGAGCCUCCAGAGUUGAGCCAGUGGGAAGCAAUAUCAUGGCUUGCAGUUUUGACACUUUGGAUCUCCAUUCUUUCUGAGUACCUUGUUGAUGCCAUAGAAGGAGCUUCUGACGCAUUGAACCUUCCACUUGCGUUCAUCAGUGUAAUUUUGCUUCCUAUUGUCGGAAAUGCUGCUGAACACGCUAGUGCAAUUAUGUUUGCCAUGAAGGAUAAGCUCGAUAUUUCUAUAGGAGUUGCCAUUGGAUCAUCAACUCAGAUAUCCAUGUUUGUGAUUCCUUUCACUGUGGCUGUUGGUUGGCUCAUGGAGAAACAGAUGGAUCUAAAUUUUCAGUUGUUUGAGACAGUAACUCUCUUUAUUACAGUGUUGGUUGUGGCAUUCAUGCUACAGGAGGGCACUGCAAACUACUUCAAAGGCUUAAUGUUGAUUCUCUGCUACUUUAUUGUUGCUGCAAGCUUCUUUUUUCACACAGACCCCGUCGACAGUGACUAAUCCGACUACGAGGAGAAGCUAAUCUCGUCACACAAUUAACCGACUGACUAAUUACAUCACGCUGAAGGCCGAGUCAUUUGCCGCUAAGCUCAUGAUUUUGGUACCGUUUAUCAAAUAUACACACUCCCAUGAACUCAUUUGAAGAAAUCAGGGACCAAAAUUUAGAGGUCAACGCAUGCCAGCCUCGAUGUAUGUGUCUGUCUAACUAUUCUUGUCCUUGUACAACUCUGCUUCCUCCUCCUCCUUCCUCCUUCUCUAGCUCUCACCCAUCCGCCAUGACCAAGGCCGAGACAAGGCACCGGACACAUCGCAAGAAUCCAGCGGCCUCCCUCCCUUGGCCGCCAUGGUCUUCCUCCACCGCUGCCCCCGGCGCCAUUGUGCUCUGCUUCUCCUCGUAGUCUUGCAGGUGCUGACACCGGCGUGCUUCAGCGACGACACGCCGUCGCCGGAGACUGCCGCGCUGCUGCUACUCAAGAACUCCUUCACGAACGCGACGAGCUUGUCUUCGUGGACCAAUUCCACCGGCAGCGGCCCCUGCGACAGCCGCUGGGACGGCGUCAUUUGCCAGAAAGGCAGCGUCGCCGGCCUUGACCUCGCUGGCGUAGGCCUCUCCGGCGAUAUCGACGUCGACGCGCUCGCGCAACUCGCUGACCUCCGCACCGUGAGCUUCGCCGAUAACUAUUUCUCUGGCGGCAUUCCGGCCCUCAACCGCCUUCACACCCUCAGGGCCAUCUACCUCUCCCGCAACCUCUUCUCCGGCGACAUCCCCGGCGACUUCUUCGACGACAUGACUCGCCUGAAGAAGCUCUGCAUCAACGACAACGACUUCACCGGGUUGAUUCCUUACUCGCUGUCCAGGGCUUCGGCCAUGAUGGAGCUCCAGCUGCAGAACAACCACUUCGCCGGGACGAUUCCGGCGCUCGUGUUGCCGUCUCUUUCCGCCUUCAACGUGUCGAACAACGAGCUCGAGGGGGUGAUCCCGGAUGUGUACUCCAAGUUUAACGCGAGCUCGUUCCUCGGCAAUGAGAACUUGUGCGGGGAGGCACAGUUCGGCGACCAGCCCUGCAAGGAGGUGGUGGCGAGCAACGGGAAGGUGGCGGCGAUCUUUGUGCUCGUCGUCUUCCUCAUCUGCUUGGUCGUUUACUUAAUCACGACGCGGGAGCAGAAGGGAGAGGAGCCGCUGGAUCUCGAUGCGAUGAAUGACGAGAAAGUGAUGGAAGCAGCGAAAGAGGUGAGAUUCCGGCGAGUUCAGAGUAUCGCGAAAGAGGGCGAGGUGGGGCAGUCGCGAAGGAUGGGCUCGGCGGAGAACAACGGAG